rnacentral:rRNA from 1 species
CACGUAGGGGGCAAGCGUUGUCCGGAUUUAUUGGGCGUAAAGAGCUCGUAGGCGGCUCGGUAAGUCGGGUGUGAAAUUUCGAGGCUCAACCUCGAAACGCCACCCGAUACUGCUGUGGCUAGAGUCCGGUAGGGGGAGCGUGGAAUUCCUGGUGUAGCGGUGAAAAUGCGCAGAUAUCAGGAGGAACACCAGCGGCGAAGGCGGCGCUCUGGGGCCGGGUACUGACGCUGAGGAGCGAAAAGCGUGGGGGAUCAAAACAGG